rnacentral:rRNA from 1 species
GACGAACGCUGGCGGCGUGCUUAACACAUGCAAGUCGAACGGAAAGGCCCUGCUUUUGUGGGGUGCUCGAGUGGCGAACGGGUGAGUAACACGUGAGUAACCUGCCCUUGACUUUGGGAUAACUUCAGGAAACUGGGGCUAAUACCGGAUAGGAGCUCCUGCUGCAUGGUGGGGGUUGGAAAGUUUCGGCGGUUGGGGAUGGACUCGCGGCUUAUCAGCUUGUUGGUGGGGUAGUGGCUUACCAAGGCUUUGACGGGUAGCCGGCCUGAGAGGGUGACCGGACACAUUGGGACUGAGAUAAGGCCCAGAAUCCUACGGGAGGCAGCAGUGGGGAAUAUUGCACAAUGGGCGGAAGCCUGAUGCAGCAACGCCGCGUGCGGGAUGACCGCCUUCGGGUUGUAAACCGCUUUCGCCUGUGACGAAGCGUGAGUGACGGUAAUGGGUAAAGAAGCACCGGCUAACUACGUG